GGUGGUGUGGUUUAAUGGUUAGAAGAUUUGAUUCACGAUCAUAAGGUCGUGGGUUCAAUUCCUGUACCA
rnacentral:tRNA from 1 species